rnacentral:rRNA from 1 species
UACGUAGGGUGCGAGCGUUAAUCGGAAUUACUGGGCGUAAAGCGUGCGCAGGCGGUGAGCUGUGUCCGAUGUGAAAGCCCCGGGCUUAACCUGGGAAUGGCAUUGGAAACUGGCUCGCUCGAGUGUGGCAGAGGGGGGAGUGAAUUCCGCGUGUAGCAGUGAAAUGCGUAGAGUAUGCGGAGGAACACCGAUGGCGAAGGCACCCUCCGGCGGCGCACUGACGCUCAUGCACGAAAGCGUGGGGAGCAAACAGG